CACCGUACUGGUCCAAACUGGGGCCAUUCCAAGGCUGAUACUGGGCCCAGAUCCUGCUCCCAUUCCCAGUUUGAUACUGGGCCAGACUGGUCCCAGUUCCAUCCCAGUUCAUCCCAGUUCAUCCCAGUUCAUCCCAGUUCCAAACCAACUCCUGGCUGUCCAUCCAUGGAUUUAUUCCACACAAAAUCCCGGAAUUCUGCCCCAAAAUCCCCCAAAAUUCCAAACAAAAUCCCAGAAAUUUCCCCCCAAAAUCCCAGAAUUUGGCCCAAAAUUCCACAAAAAAUUCCACAAAAAAAUCCACAAAAAAAUCCACAAAAAAUCCCCAAAAAAUUCCACAAAAAAAUCCCAGAAUUCUCCCCAAAUAUUCCAAAAAAUUCCACAAAAAAUCCCCCCAAAAAUUCCACAAAAAAUCCCAGAAUUCUCCCCAAAACUUCCAGAAAUUUCCCAUGAAAUCACAAUUUUUUUCCCAAAAUUUCCAUAAUUCCACUCAAAAUCCCAGAAUUCUGCCCAACUAUUCCAAAAAAUUCCACAAAAAAAUCCCAGAAUUCUGCCCAAAAUCCCACACAAAAUCCCAGGAAUUCUGCCCAAAAUUCUGGGAAAUUUCCCCCAAAAUCCCAGAAUUUUGCUUAAAAAUUCCCCAAAAUUCCACCCAAAAUCCCAGGAAUUUUCCCCAAAAAUCUCCAAAAUUCUGGAAUGGGGCUCCCCCUAUAAAUAUAGUGCAAAAAAAAACAAAAAAAAAACCAAAAAAUGGGAAAAAAAUUUGAGAAUUUCCCAAAAUCGUGGGAGGGUCCAGCCAGGUUUUGGGAUGGGCAGAAAAUCCCGAAAAUCCUCGGGGGAAAUUCUGAGAAAAUUCCAGGAAUUUGGGGAAUUUGGGGAGUUUUGAGGGGAUUUUAAUGGGAAUUUUUGGGAAUUUUGAGGGAAUUUUUGG
rnacentral:lncRNA from 1 species